ensembl:lincRNA
ACUUGGCAAGAUAGCUCUGGAAGAUAGCUCCAGCUCAGGAAGAAGACCCUGCAGCCCAUUUCCUUUCAAAAGGCAGAGAUGAACAUUCUCCCUGGCCGUCUUGAAAUAGACCAAUAUGUUUGGAAAUAAAGAGACUUGGCUUCCUGGUCCUGCUCUAAGAUGGGAGCUUAAACCUAUGGAAUGUGACAUCCCUUUGGGCAAAAACAGAAUUCUUAGCAAAGAAAUCAUUGAUGUUAAGAAACAGUACACAAUUGCCUCAGAGAGGCACCAUGUGUUUCCAAAGUGUGAAUCUGAAAACCAUCCAUCUGGGCAUGUUGGCAUCUUCCUGAAUUGUAUGUGAUUGAAAGAAAUAUUUUCAACAUUUUUCAAGUCUUUGACUACAUGAGAAAGAGAAUAAGGUAAAGGAGAUCUUUUUUCAUUUCCAGUUAUUGAGAAUCAAGUAUGAUCCUUAGAUUGGAAUACCUUGCCCACCCUUCUGCCUGGAUAGCCCCAAUCAUUCAUCAAGACUCAGGUCACCAGUGGCAUUCUUAGUGAAUUACUCUGUCACCCUAGCUCUUUAUUUGUCGCAUAACUAACUCUAUGCAUACUCAUAUGAAAAUGCUUAUUUACUUUGAUUAAAAUUAUUUCUUCAACUGUUGCUUCCCCUAUAAUCUAUGAGCUCCUAAAAUGAAAAGCAGAUGGUCUUUAAUGCAAUUCAAUUCAACAAAUAUUAUUACAAUGCUCCAGAUACUAAUCUAGAAGCUGCAGAGACAAUUCUGAAUAAGAAGAGAG